GUGGGGAAUCUUCCGCAAUGGACGAAAGUCUGACGGAGCAACGCCGCGUGAGUGAAGAAGGCCUUCGGGUCGUAAAGCUCUGUCAUCAGGGACGAACGGCCGGUGGAGUGGAAAGCCACCGGAUUGACGGUACCUGAGAAGGAAGCCACGGCUAACUACGUGCCAGCAGCCGCGGUAAUACGUAGGUGGCAAGCGUUGUCCGGAAUUAUUGGGCGUAAAGCGCGCGCAGGUGGGAUCUUAAGUCCAUUUUGAAAGUUCGGAGCUCAACUCCGUGAUGGGAUGGAAACUGGGAUUCUUGAGUACCGGAGAGGAAAGCGGAAUUCCCCGUGUAGCGGUGAAAUGCGUAGAUAUGGGGAGGAACACCAGUGGCGAAGGCGGCUUUCUGGACGGUGUCUGACACUGAGGCGCGAAAGCUAGGGGAGCGAACGGGAUUAGAAACCCUAGUAGUCC
rnacentral:rRNA from 1 species